AGGAUGAAGCCCGCCCCGCAGCCCGUCUUCGACGUAGUUCGGUGAGCGGUUCCCGUGCAUCGGGAUCGUCUCAUGACUCGGUUCCCGCAUAUAUUCCCACUCCAGCUCCCUCUGCCCCUCACGCUGCCCCUCACGCUGCUGCUCAACAGGAUCCGGGGGUCAUGCCGGUUCAUCUAUUGGUUCAACAACCAGGUCGAGAGCAUCUCCCGUUUCUC
rnacentral:lncRNA from 1 species